ACUAUCGUUAACUGAAUACAUAGGUUAACGAGGCGAACCGGGGGAACUGAAACAUCUAAGUACCCCGAGGAAAAGAAAUCAACCGAGAUUCCCCCAGUAGCGGCGAGCGAACGGGGAGCAGCCCAGAGUCUGAAUCAGCUUGUGUGUUAGUGGAACGGUCUGGAAAGUCCGACGGUACAGGGUGAUAGUCCCGUACACCAAAAUGCACAGGCUGUGAACUCGAAGAGUAGGGCGGGACACGUGGUAUCCUGUCUGAAUAUGGGGGGACCAUCCUCCAAGGCUAAAUACUCCUGACUGACCGAUAGUGAACCAGUACCGUGAGGGAAAGGCGAAAAGAACCCCGGCGAGGGGAGUGAAAAAGAACCUGAAACCGUGUACGUACAAGCAGUGGGAGCACCUUCGGGUGUGACUGCGUACCUUUUGUAUAAUGGGUCAGCGACUUAUAUUCUGUAGCAAGGUUAACCGUAUAGGGGAGCCGCAGGGAAACCGAGUCUUAACUGGGCGUUAAGUUGCAGGGUAUAGACCCGAAACCCGGUGAUCUAGCCAUGGGCAGGUUGAAGGUUGGGUAACACUAACUGGAGGACCGAACCGACUAAUGUUGAAAAAUUAGCGGAUGACUUGUGGCUGGGGGUGAAAGGCCAAUCAAACCGGGAGAUAGCUGGUUCUCCCCGAAAGCUAUUUAGGUAGCGCCUCGUGAACUCAUCUUCGGGGGUAGAGCACUGUUUCGGCUAGGGGGUCAUCCCGACUUACCAACCCGAUGCAAACUACGAAUACCGAAGAAUGUUAUCACGGGAGACACACGGCGGGUGCUAACGUCCGUCGUGAAGAGGGAAACAACCCAGACCGCCAGCUAAGGUCCCAAAGUCAUGGUUAAGUGGGAAACGAUGUGGGAAGGCACAGACAGCCAGGAUGUUGGCUUAGAAGCAGCCAUCAUUUAAAGAAAGCGUAAUAGCUCACUGGUCGAGUCGGCCUGCGCGGAAGAUGUAACGGGGCUAAACCAUGCACCGAAGCUGCGGCAGCGACACUAUGUGUUGUUGGGUAGGGGAGCGUUCUGUAAGCCUGCGAAGGUGACCUGUGAGGGUUGCUGGAGGUAUCAGAAGUGCGAAUGCUGACAUAAGUAACGAUAAAGCGGGUGAAAAGCCCGCUCGCCGGAAGACCAAGGGUUCCUGUCCAACGUUAAUCGGGGCAGGGUGAGUCGACCCCUAAGGCGAGGCCGAAAGGCGUAGUCGAUGGGAAACAGGUUAAUAUUCCUGUACUUGGUGUUACUGCGAAGGGGGGACGGAGAAGGCUAUGUUAGCCGGGCGACGGUUGUCCCGGUUUAAGCAUGUAGGCUGGUUGUCCAGGCAAAUCCGGAUAAUCAAGGCUGAGGUGUGAUGACGAGGCACUACGGUGCUGAAGUAACAAAUGCCCUGCUUCCAGGAAAAGCCUCUAAGCAUCAGGUAACAUCAAAUCGUACCCCAAACCGACACAGGUGGUCAGGUAGAGAAUACCAAGGCGCUUGAGAGAACUCGGGUGAAGGAACUAGGCAAAAUGGUGCCGUAACUUCGGGAGAAGGCACGCUGGUGUGUAGGUGAAGUCCCUGCGGAUGGAGCUGAGACCAGUCGAAGAUACCAGCUGGCUGCAACUGUUUAUUAAAAACACAGCACUGUGCAAACACGAAAGUGGACGUAUACGGUGUGACGCCUGCCCGGUGCCGGAAGGUUAAUUGAUGGGGUUAUCCGUAAGGAGAAGCUCUUGAUCGAAGCCCCGGUAAACGGCGGCCGUAACUAUAACGGUCCUAAGGUAGCGAAAUUCCUUGUCGGGUAAGUUCCGACCUGCACGAAUGGCGUAAUGAUGGCCAGGCUGUCUCCACCCGAGACUCAGUGAAAUUGAACUCGCUGUGAAGAUGCAGUGUACCCGCGGCAAGACGGAAAGACCCCGUGAACCUUUACUAUAGCUUGACACUGAACAUUGAGCCUUGAUGUGUAGGAUAGGUGGGAGGCUUUGAAGCGUGGACGCCAGUCUGCGUGGAGCCAACCUUGAAAUACCACCCUUUAAUGUUUGAUGUUCUAACGUUGGCCCCUUACCGGGGUUGCGGACAGUGUCUGGUGGGUAGUUUGACUGGGGCGGUCUCCUCCCAAAGCGUAACGGAGGAGCACGAAGGUUAGCUAAUCCUGGUCGGACAUCAGGAGGUUAGUGCAAUGGCAUAAGCUAGCUUGACUGCGAGCGUGACGGCGCGAGCAGGUGCGAAAGCAGGUCAUAGUGAUCCGGUGGUUCUGAAUGGAAGGGCCAUCGCUCAACGGAUAAAAGGUACUCCGGGGAUAACAGGCUGAUACCGCCCAAGAGUUCAUAUCGACGGCGGUGUUUGGCACCUCGAUGUCGGCUCAUCACAUCCUGGGGCUGAAGUAGGUCCCAAGGGUAUGGCUGUUCGCCAUUUAAAGUGGUACGCGAGCUGGGUUUAGAACGUCGUGAGACAGUUCGGUCCCUAUCUGCCGUGGGCGCUGGAGAAUUGAGGGGGGCUGCUCCUAGUACGAGAGGACCGGAGUGGACGCAUCACUGGUGUUCGGGUUGUCAUGCCAAUGGCACUGCCCGGUAGCUAAAUGCGGAAGAGAUAAGUGCUGAAAGCAUCUAAGCACGAAACUUGCCCCGAGAUGAGUUCUCCCUGAGACUUUAAGUCUCCUGAAGGAACGUUGAAGACGACGACGUUGAUAGGCCGGGUGUGUAAGCGCAGCGAUGCGUUGAGCUAACCGGUACUAAUGAACCGUGAGGCUUAACC
rnacentral:rRNA from 1 species